AAAUAUGCCACUCCUCUUUUAUUCCCCCAUUUGAUUUAAUUUAAUUGAGUAAUUAAUCGAGGAUAAUAAUUAACACUAACUACGCUUCGUUAGUGUUAAUCCGGAUGCGAACAACACUCUGAACCGAGGGCCGUUGUUUCUCGGGCGUCUGGAUCGAACGGUUGAAAUGUAAGGAGAGUAGGGCUGAUAGUGUGUCUGAGGAGCCGAGCCUCGUUGGCGCGGUGCGUCGGGUAGCGAAGGAAGGUUCGCUCCGUUUUAGAUUCGAAGCACAGUGUGGGGUUUUUGAGGGUGCACGGCGACAACGCGAGGCCUCCCCCACCCUCCUACCACACCCCCCUCUCUCCUCUUCUGAAAACACUGUCGCAUGCGAGCGUAUGCCUCCCACUCACCCACUCACCCACUCACUCACUUUUGUGUGAUGUUCCGCUCGUACAUCGAUCACACUCUGAGUCCGCACGAUAGCCCAUCAUUUUUUCACCUUGUGAUGGAUCAUCUCACCUUGAUCAUCAAACUUUUCGGUUGGAGAUUAUAAUUUGAGACGCGAUUUACUUUAGUCCUCGUCCAAUUCGUGACGACUCAGUCGUCGAUUGUAGGCUUUUUGUUAGGUUGUUGGAUGCAAGAUGCCAGAUAGAUAGAGGAGGUAUGUAGAUUCGAUAGAUUUGUACUGUAGAGGAUAUGCAUUAUGUAUUAGGGUUAUAUCUUUCUCUCUGCUACUAAAGUGAAAUUUGAUCCAGAUUAGGACCAAAUAGGGGGGGGGGGGCUGUAACUUGCACAGUCGCCGAUACUGCUUUUUUAGGGCUUUUAUUAUUUUUUUUUGGUCUCAUUUGUGGCCUAACUUAUGCUAGCUUGAUAUUUCUAUCUUUCAUCCCAAUCUGAGACUGUUUGUUGAGUAGAAUAUUUCAAUUCUUUCACACCAAAUAAUUUUCUUGUUUUAGAAAGGCUCUAUUAAGAUGGUAACCUUGGAUUAAUAAAUGUAGGCAAUCCCAAUGAUGAAAUGGGAUCAUUCUAAAAUAAGAAAGCUAUUAGCUGUAUCUUUGUGGAUCUGAGCUUGCACGGAUCUUUUUUAGUGGCUCUCUCUUUAUAGCCCUCUUAAUCACCAAGUUUAUUGAGUCACUUUUGGCAUGAUCUUUUAUUAGGUGAUGACCUUGAUUUUUUGUCCAAAUAUCAUCUAGCUGUAUGGACAGAGCUUUUGUUUGGCGUAAGUAGAAAGUAUGAUAAGGAAAUUGUCGCUAAUUGGCUGAUAGUUUUGUUCUAAAGUUUGAUUGGCCUGUGAUUGAUUUUAUUGGAGCGGGAAAAAUUGGUAGCAGUAAACAACUCUUAUUUUGGCUUGGACUAGCUUAACUUUUGAAAAUCGAUUCACCUUUAUUCUAAUUACAAAACAUGGUUAGUAAUUGAUUGGUGUUGACACCCGAAAGGAUGUCAUUUGGAGUUCUUGGCUAAGAUGAUCUUUUUUGUGGAUUUUGUUAUUGUUUGGCGAUAUUUUAUCAACUAUCAAAAUUAGUUCUCGCGUGAUUAAAGUUUUAUGUAAUAGCUUUUUUAUAAUUCAAGAAUCAUCUAUGGCUUUCCAUUGUGGCCAAAAA